rnacentral:rRNA from 1 species
UGGGGAAUUUUGGACAAUGGGCGCAAGCCUGAUCCAGCCAUGCCGCGUGCGGGAAGAAGGCCUUCGGGUUGUAAACCGCUUUUGUCAGGGAAGAAAUCUUCUGAGUUAAUACCUCGGGAGGAUGACGGUACCUGAAGAAUAAGCACCGGCUAACUACGUGCCAGCAGCCGCGGUAAUACGUAGGGUGCAAGCGUUAAUCGGAAUUACUGGGCGUAAAGCGUGCGCAGGCGGUUUUGUAAGACAGAGGUGAAAUCCCCGGGCUCAACCUGGGAACUGCCUUUGUGACUGCAAGGCUUGAGUGCGGCAGAGGGGGAUGGAAUUCCGCGUGUAGCAGUGAAAUGCGUAGAUAUGCGGAGGAACACCGAUGGCGAAGGCAAUCCCCCUGGGGCCUGCACUGACGCUCAUGCACGAAAGCGUGGGGAGCAAACAGGAUUAGAUACCCCUGGUAGUCCACGCCCUAAACGAUGUCAACUGGUUGUU